UUAUGUGGGAGUGCAUCGUGAGAUAAGAGUUCAGAUAACACUCACACAAGCAUGGCGUUUUCAAGCACACAUGGAGCUGUUCUUGUGUAUAUGUGUAUGACACUGUAUUUUUGCCUGGUUGCAACUUCCACCCUAUACGUGAUGCACUCUGUAAGGCACUCAAUGGGAACUGUGUAGACAGUCGACUGGUCAGAUGUGCCGAUCUGGACUUCAAGAUAUGUGGGUCUGAACCGUUUGCUGCUUGCUGCCCUGGAAUAAUGAUUGGCUAGCCGGUUAUCUCAGAAGCAUCAUCCGGAUCAUCCGCCUAGUUAUCAUCAGCCUGAAGGCCAUGUUUAUAAUGAUGAUAAUGCCUGUACUUAUAAAUAAAAUAUACACUCUUC